GACAUUUUCCUCUCAGCUAUGAAUUUUCCUGUGAGGCCCGAAGUGGAUCUCAGGAUAACACAUUUUCCUGUGUUCUAGUCAGCUCACAGGAAAAAGAUCAGAGCCAACCCGCCAUCGGAGCCCAUGAAACGCAGUUCGCGCUGAAAUUUCCCCUCACCGCGCGCCAACACUGGAAACUUCGCGCGAUAUUUGUCUAGAGAAAAAAAAGAGAACAUAAGGCAAACGGCCUAGAAACUUUCCCCACUUUCUCGUCUUCAACACGCACCGCCGCCGCCGCCUCCCACCUCCUCACCAUUGUCGCCGCCCUCCUGUGCCGCCAGUCUCCCUCUCCUCCGACCUCCAGAUCCAUCCGCGGCCGCCGGCCACCAGAUCCAUCCACGGUCGCCGGCUACCAGAUCCAUCCGCUGCCGCCGGCUACAAGAUCCACCGGCGGCCGCCGGCUACAAGAUCCACCUGCGGCCGCCGAACACCAGAUCCCAUCCCAGAGCUCCACCACUGCCUUCUCCGACCUCGAAUCUCUUCUGACCUCCACCGCUACCUGCUACCACAUACGACCGGGAGCGCGGCCCACCUGCCUUCUCCUCCGACCAACACGGCCGCCGGCUCCCCCACCUCCGUCAGCAAGCGACGCCCACCCCCUUCUCUUUUGACCUCCUCCGGCGCAACCUGCCACCACAGCUCCGUGCACGAGCGCCGUCCUCUGACCCUCCCUUCUCCUCCGAUCACCACCUCCAUCCACUUCCGCAACUCGUUUUGGUGUGGUAAGUAUCAAUCAUGGAUUCAUGGUCAUUGGUGAGAUUAUUACUCAUAACUGCGGCAAAAUGAGGGCCUUUUGAAUUUUCAGUGCGUUGUUUUAUUUUAGUUUUCACGAUGGAAGAAACAGCUUUGUUCUAUCUUGUAGCUCAUAGAUUUAGGUGCUACUGAAGGUGCGUUAUUUUUGCAGCAAGCUGAGAAAAGGCAUGGUGCCUCCGUGUACCGAGAAGGUUCAAACAACAGAUUCUAAUCUGCACCGGAACAAAUUCUGCUCUGUUUUUUUAGCUUGCUGCAGAUGAUGUGUUCCCACAAAGACAGCUAAAUGUGAAGAAUGUUUAUAGCUUACUGGAUUCUUUACCAGAACCUCCAUUAGUAUUUAACUGUGAUGUGAUGGAGGAGAUGCUUCAUCUUGCUACUACAAUUAUUAAGGUAGCAACAAUGGUGAGAGCAACUGUGCUUCCGAAGGAGGAUCUCACUAGUGUACCCGCACUUCAACUAAUUAUUGACACUCUUAUGGUAUGUUGGAUCUCUUGUUGCAUUCACUGUUAGUGGAAUGUGAUGGAUUGGAAAUAGUGGAGAUAUAUGUAUGUAGGCAAUGUUACUUAUCAUGAACUUGUAUGACUUGGAAAUUCAUGUAUUUUGUGUUAAAUUGUACUGCCAUGUGCAGUGUGCUGGAAGCAAAUUAGAGUGGCGGUCUCAUGUAUGUGUGGCACAUUUAUUACCCGCUUUUGGGCAAAGUCUGUAUAUGUCAAUUAUCAUUUACUGGAACAUGUUUCAGUGGAUUGUUACAAUCUUAUUUAUGGAUUGAUUCUGGAUGAGUGUACUUGAAUAUGAAUUGGAUA